UACGUAGGGGGCAAGCGUUGUCCGGAAUCAUUGGGCGUAAAGAGCGCGUAGGCGGUCCGGUAAGUCCGCUGUGAAAGUCAAGGGCUCAACCCUUGAAUGCCGGUGGAUACUGUCGGGCUAGAGUCCGGAAGAGGCGAGUGGAAUUCCUGGUGUAGCGGUGAAAUGCGCAGAUAUCAGGAGGAACACCGGUGGCGAAGGCGGGUCUCUGGGCCGAUACUGACGCUGAGGAGCGAAAGCGUGGGGAGCGAACAGG
rnacentral:rRNA from 1 species